CCUACGGGAGGCAGCAGUGAGGAAUAUUGGUCAAUGGCCGUAAGGCUGAACCAGCCAAGUCGCGUGAAGGAUGAAGGACCUAUGGUUUGUAAACUUCUUUUAUAGGGGAAUAAAGGUAUCCACGUGUGGAGAUUUGCAUGUACCCUAUGAAUAAGCAUCGGCUAACUCCGUGCCAGCAGCCGCGGUAAUACGGAGGAUGCGAGCGUUAUCCGGAUUUAUUGGGUUUAAAGGGUGCGUAGGUUGUUUGUUAAGUCAGCUGUGAAAGUUUGUGGCUCAACCAUAAAAUUGCCGUUGAAACUGGCAGACUGGAGUGUGUGAGAGGUUGGCGGAAUGCGUGGUGUAGCGGUGAAAUGCAUAGAUAUCACGAAGAACUCCGAUUGCGAAGGCAGCUUACUGGGCCAUAACUGACACUGAGGCGCGAAAGCGUGGGGAUCAAACAGGAUUAGAUACCCGAGUAGUC
rnacentral:rRNA from 1 species